UGGGGAAUAUUGCACAAUGGGGGAAACCCUGAUGCAGCGACGCCUCGUGAACGAAGAAGGUAUUCGUAUCGUAAAGUUCUGUCCUAUGGGAAGAUAAUGACAGUACCAUAGAAGAAAGCUCCGGCUAAAUACGUGCCAGCAGCCGCGGUAAUACGUAUGGAGCGAGCGUUGUCCGGAAUUAUUGGGCGUAAAGGGUACGCAGGCGGUUUAAUAAGUCGAAUGUUAAAGAUCGGGGCUCAACCCCGCAAAGCAUUGGAAACUGAUAAACUGGAGUAGUGGAGAGGAAAGUGGAGUUCCUAGUGUAGUGGUGAAAUACGUAGAUAUUAGGAGGAAUACCAGUAGCGAAGGCGACUUUCUGGACACAAACUGACGCUGAGGUACGAAAGCGUGGGGAGCAAACAGG
rnacentral:rRNA from 1 species